GUCUCCUGUGCCUGCUGUGCUGAUAAUCAGUGGACGGCUGUGACUGGCUCAGUUCAGCAGGAACAGGGGCC
rnacentral:pre_miRNA from 1 species